GGAGCGUUGGCCGAGCUGGUUGAUGGCACCGCAUUGCUAAUGCGGAAGGGGGCUAUCCGCUCCCUCACAGGUUCGAAUCCUGUACGCUCCACCA
rnacentral:tRNA from 1 species